rnacentral:rRNA from 1 species
AUUGAACGCUGGCGGCAGGCUUAACACAUGCAAGUCGAACGCAUCGCAAGAUGAGUGGCAGACGGGUGAGUAACGCGUGGGAACAUACCCUUUUCUACGGAAUAGCUCUGGGAAACUGGAAUUAAUACCGUAUACGCCCUACGGGGGAAAGAUUUAUCGGGGAAGGAUUGGACCGCGUUGGAUUAGCUAGUUGGUGGGGUAAAGGCCUCCCAAGGCGACGAUCCAUAGCUGGUCUGAGAGGAUGAUCAGCCACAUUGGGACUGAGACACGGCCCAAACUCCUACGGGAGGCAGCAGUGGGGAAUAUUGGACAAUGGGCGCAAGCCUGAUCCAGCCAUGCCGCGUGAGUGAUGAAGGCCUUAGGGUUGUAAAGCUCUUUCACCGAUGAAGAUAAUGACGGUAGUCGGAGAAGAAGCCCCGGCUAACUUCGUGCCAGCCGCCGCGGUAA